AUACGGAGGGUGCAAGCGUUACUCGGAAUCACUGGGCGUAAAGCGCGCGCAGGCGGCCCGAUAAGUUGGAUGUGAAAUCCUAUGGCUCAACCCUAGAACUGCAUUGGAAACUGUCAGACUAGAAUACUGAAGGGGCAGAUGGAAUUAGUGGUGUAGGGGUAAAAUCCGUAGAUAUCACUAGGAAUACCGAAAGCGAAGGCGAUCUCCUGGAACAUAACUGACGCUAAGGCGUGAAAGCGUGGGGAGCAAACAGGAUUAGAAACCCCAGUAGUCC
rnacentral:rRNA from 1 species